rnacentral:rRNA from 1 species
ACGCUCGACACCUACGGGAGGCAGCAGUUGGGAAUAUUGGACAAUGGAGGAAACUCUGAUCCAGUGACGCCGCGUGAAGGAAGAAGGUCUUCGGAUUGUAAACUUAUUUUGUCAGGGAAGAAAAAAUGACUGUACCUGAAGAAAAAGCACCGGCUAACUACGUGCCAGUAGCCGCGGUAAUCUGAGCGGGCUGGCAAGGC